GCAUCGGUUUAGCUCAGUGGUUACUUCCUACCAUAGAAAGUUUCUAACUCACGGUCUGCAGACUAUGAGGUUCAACCACGGGCGCUGUCCGAUGCGUUU
ensembl:vault_RNA Vault Vault RNA